CACGUAGGGUGCGAGCGUUGUCCGGAAUUAUUGGGCGUAAAGAGCUCGUAGGCGGUUUGUUGCGUCUAUCGUGAAAACCUGCAGCUUAACUGUGGGCUUGCGGUGGAUACGGGCAGACUUGAGUUCGGUAGGGGAGACUGGAAUUCCUGGUGUAGCGGUGAAAUGCGCAGAUAUCAGGAGGAACACCGGUGGCGAAGGCGGGUCUCUGGGCCGAUACUGACGCUGAGGAGCGAAAGCGUGGGGAGCGAACAGG
rnacentral:rRNA from 1 species